AUGAACGCUGGCGGCGUGCCUAAUACAUGCAAGUCGAGCGAACAGACGAGGAGCUUGCUCCUCUGACGUUAGCGGCGGACGGGUGAGUAACACGUGGAUAACCUACCUAUAAGACUGGGAUAACUUCGGGAAACCGGAGCUAAUACCGGAUAAUAUAUUGAACCGCAUGGUUCAAUAGUGAAAGACGGUUUUGCUGUCACUUAUAGAUGGAUCCGCGCCGCAUUAGCUAGUUGGUAAGGUAACGGCUUACCAAGGCAACGAUGCGUAGCCGACCUGAGAGGGGGGAGGGCCAAUCGGGAACUGAGCCGCCACGCAGGACCGCAAGGGGGGGAGACGUUGGGAAGUUUCCGCAAGGGGGGAAAGCCUAACGGUGGAAGGGCGGGGAAGUGAAGAAGGUUUUCGAACCGUAAACCCCUGUUAUUAGGAAAAAACAAAUGGGAAAGUAACUAUGCCCGCAUUGGCGGUACUAAAUAAGAAAGCCCCGGCUAACUACGC
rnacentral:rRNA from 1 species